rnacentral:lncRNA from 1 species
GUAAAAUCCUGUGUUCUGAGGCUGCCACAAGCCAUUGGUAUUUCUUGUUCGUUGUUUUAGAUGUGGUUGCCAAAGAGAUCACAUUUUCUACUCCCUGGACAAAUCCAACCUCUCUGAAGGUACUCAGUGAACACAAUAAAUACCUGUUGAACCAAUAAUUCAUUUCUUGACAUCCUUCAAAGAAGUUUAAGACCUUGACAGGCAACUGGAAUGAAAGAUUGUUGGUGGCUGAGCAGAGGCAUGGACAAGGAAAAACACCAGGUUUGAGCAACCUACAAUUCCCAUCUGGCUAGGAGACACAGAAGAGGAAGCAGUCCAGAUGGGAGGUAAGAGUGGUACUACCUACUAAAAGUGUGUGCCAUUUUUAAUUGUCAUUAAAUAUUUUG